rnacentral:tRNA from 1 species
AUCAAGGGAUGGGAAUCGAACCCACACGACCUUCCGCUUACCGGGCAGAUGCCAUGACCACUAGGCUACCCUGGA